GAGGGAGAAAGUGCGUGAAAAAAAUCGCGACAUUUUUGUUACUUUAGGUGAUGUUCCUCAUGGGCUUGCGCAGGUGUAAAUUACCACGGGCUAUACAUUUUGGUAUUUAAAUUUGACAGCAAUGGUUAAUUUUAAAGAAUAAUAAUAAUUAAAAAAAAAAAA